AGAAGUUGCGUUACACUCAACUUACAUAAUUCGUCUCUGACAGCUGACCACGGAGGUACUGGCAGUUGUUGUCGAGACGGGUCGAGGAAGGUCGGUGCGGUUUCGCCCCGGCCUUUUUCUUU
rnacentral:sRNA from 1 species